rnacentral:rRNA from 1 species
AAACGAUGAAUACUCGCUGUUAGCGAUACACAGUUAGCGGCUAAGCGAAAGCGUUAAGUAUUCCACCUGGGGAGUACGGUCGCAAGAUUGAAACUCAAAGGAAUUGACGGGGGCCCGCACAAGCGGAGGAGCAUGUGGUUUAAUUCGAUGAUACGCGAGGAACCUUACCCGGGCUUGAAAGUUAGUGAAUCAUUUAGAGAUAGAUGAGUCCGCAAGGACACGAAACUAGGUGCUGCAUGGCUGUCGUCAG